GUGAACGCUGGCGGUGGGCCUAACACAUGCCAGUCGAACGGCAGCACAGUAAGAGCUUGCUCUUACGGGUGGCGAGUGGCGGACGGGUGAGGAAUACAUCGGAAUCUACUUUUUCGUGGGGGAUAACGUAGGGAAACUUACGCUAAUACCGCAUACGACCUACGGGUGAAAGCAGGGGAUCUUCGGACCUUGCGCGAUUGAAUGAGCCGAUGUCGGAUUAGCUAGUUGGCGGGGUAAAGGCCCACCAAGGCGACGAUCCGUAGCUGGUCUGAGAGGAUGAUCAGCCACACUGGAACUGAGACACGGUCCAGACUCCUACGGGAGGCAGCAGUGGGGAAUAUUGGACAAUGGGCGCAAGCCUGAUCCAGCCAUACCGCGUGGGUGAAGAAGGCCUUCGGGUUGUAAAGCCCUUUUGUUGGGAAAGAAAAGCAGCAGGUUAAUACCCCGCUGUUCUGACGGUACCCAAAGAAUAAGCACCGGCUAACUUCGUG
rnacentral:rRNA from 1 species